rnacentral:rRNA from 1 species
AGCGAACGCUGGCGGCAGGCCUAACACAUGCAAGUCGAACGGAUCCUUCGGGAUUAGUGGCGGACGGGUGAGUAACACGUGGGAACGUGCCCUUUGGUUCGGAACAACUCAGGGAAACUUGAGCUAAUACCGGAUGUGCCCUUCGGGGGAAAGAUUUAUCGCCAUUGGAGCGGCCCGCGUCUGAUUAGCUAGUUGGUGAGGUAACGGCCCACCAAGGCGACGAUCAGUAGCUGGUCUGAGAGGAUGAUCAGCCACACUGGGACUGAGACACGGCCCAGACUCCUAGGGAAGGCAGAAGGGGGGAUUCUUCCGCAAGGGGCGAAAGCCUGACACGGCCAUGCCGCGUAAAUGAUGAAGGUUUUAGGAUGGUAAAAUUCUUUCAGCGGGGACGAUAAGGACGGUACCCGCAGAAGAAGCCCCGGCAAACUUCGG